rnacentral:rRNA from 1 species
GACGAAAGUCUGACCGAGCAACGCCGCGUGAGUGAAGAAGGUUUUCGGAUCGUAAAGCUCUGUUGUAAGUCAAGAACGUGUGUGAGAGUGGAAAGUUCACACAGUGACGGUAGCUUACCAGAAAGGGACGGCUAACUACGUGCCAGCAGCCGCGGUAAUACGUAGGUCCCGAGCGUUGUCCGGAUUUAUUGGGCGUAAAGGGAGCGCAGGCGGUCAGGAAAGUCUGGAGUAAAAGGCUAUGGCUCAGCCAUAGUGUGCUCUGGAAACUGUCUGACUUGAGUGCAGAAGGGGGGAGUGGAAUUCCAUGUGUAGCGGUGAAAUGCGUAGAUAUAUGGAGGAACACCAGUGGCGAAAGCGGCUCUCUGGUCUGUCACUGACGCUGAGGCUCGAAAGCGUGGGUAGCGAACAGGAUUAGAUACCCUGGUAGUCCACGCCGUAAACGAUGAGUGCUAGGUGUUAGGCCCUUUCCGGGGCUUAGUGCCGGAGCUAACGCAAUAAGCACUCCGCCUGGGGAGUACGACCGCAAGGUUGAAACUCAAAGGAAUUGACGGGGGCCCGCACAAGC